GAUGAACGCUGGCGGCGUGCCUAAUACAUGCAAGUCGAGCGAACGGACGAGAAGCUUGCUUUUCUGAUGUUAGCGGCGGACGGGUGAGUAACACGUGGAUAACCUACCUAUAAGACUGGGAUAACUUCGGGAAACCGGAGCUAAUACCGGAUAAUAUUUUGAACCGCAUGGUUCAAAAGUGAAAGACGGUCUUGCUGUCACUUAUAGAUGGAUCCGCGCUGCAUUAGCUAGUUGGUAAGGUAACGGCUUACCAAGGCAACGAUGCUUAGCCGACCUGAGAGGGUGAUCGGCCACACUGGAACUGAGACACGGUCCAGACUCCUACGGGAGGCAGCAGUAGGGAAUCUUCCGCAAUGGGCGAAAGCCUGACGGAGCAACGCCGCGUGAGUGAUGAAGGUCUUCGGAUCGUAAAACUCUGUUAUUAGGGAAGAACAUAUGUGUAAGUAACUGUGCACAUCUUGACGGUACCUAAUCAGAAAGCCACGGCUAACUACGUG
rnacentral:rRNA from 1 species